UAGGGAAUUGUUCGCAAUGGGCGCAAGCCUGACGACGCAACGCCGCGUGGAGGAUGAAGAUCUUCGGGUCGUAAACUCCUUUCGAUCGAGACGAAUGGGUUUCGAGUUAACAGCUCGGAACAUUGACGGUACCGAGAGAAGAAGCCCCGGCUAACUCCGUGCCAGCAGCCGCGGUAAUACGGGGGGGGCAAGCGUUGUUCGGAAUUACUGGGCGUAAAGGGCUCGUAGGUGGCCAACUAAGUCAUACGUGAAAUCCCUCGGCUUAACCGGGGAACUGCGUCUGAUACUGGAUGGCUUGAGUUUGGGAGAGGGAUGCGGAAUUCCAGGUGUAGCGGUGAAAUGCGUAGAUAUCUGGAGGAACACCGGUGGCGAAGGCGGCAUCCUGGACCAAUACUGACACUGAGGAGCGAAAGCCAGGGGAGCAAA
rnacentral:rRNA from 1 species